CUAUACAUGCAGUCGAGCGAACAGACGAGGAGCUUGCUCCUCUGACGUUAGCGGCGGACGGGUGAGUAACACGUGGGUAACCUACCUAUAAGACUGGAAUAACUCCGGGAAACCGGGGCUAAUGCCGGAUAAUAUGCGGAACCGCAUGGUUCCGCAAUGAAAGACGGUUUUGCUGUCACUUAUAGAUGGACCCGCGCCGUAUUAGCUAGUUGGUAAGGUAACGGCUUACCAAGGCAACGAUACGUAGCCGACCUGAGAGGGUGAUCGGCCACACUGGAACUGAGACACGGUCCAGACUCCUACGGGAGGCAGCAGUAGGGAAUCUUCCGCAAUGGGCGAAAGCCUGACGGAGCAACGCCGCGUGAGUGAUGAAGGUCUUCGGAUCGUAAAACUCUGUUAUUAGGGAAGAACAAGUGCGUAGGUAACUAUGCGCACCUUGACGGUACCUAAUCAGAAAGCCACGGCUAACUACGUGCCAGCAGCCGCGGUAAUACGUAGGUGGCAAGCGUUAUCCGGAAUUAUUGGGCGUAAAGCGCGCGUAGGCGGUUUUUUAAGUCUGAUGUGAAAGCCCACGGCUCAACCGUGGAGGGUCAUUGGAAACUGGAAAACUUGAGUGCAGAAGAGGAAAGUGGAAUUCCAUGUGUAGCGGUGAAAUGCGCAGAGAUAUGGAGGAACACCAGUGGCGAAGGCGACUUUCUGGUCUGCAACUGACGCUGAUGUGCGAAAGCGUGGGGAUCAAACAGGAUUAGAUACCCUGGUAGUCCACGCCGUAAACGAUGAGUGCUAAGUGUUA
rnacentral:rRNA from 1 species